rnacentral:lncRNA from 1 species
GAACAUAUAAACACAAAAGAAAAGAAAAAAACAAAUCAUGUUCUCCUAUUACAAAGAAAUCCAGAUAAAUUAAAGCGCAAUGGGUCCAUCUUCAUUGUUUUUCUUCCAUUGUUGUUCCUUUUGGAUUGGCACGUGCUCAACAACAACUCAAAUCAAGAUGACCUAAAACCGGUUUGGUUAGGACACAGUUGCAAUAGGGACUCCAACUAGCUCCGUUGGAAGGGACAAAUGUGAUUAAAGGAGUAGAGAUAGAUAUAUACAAUGACGAAAAAUGCAAAUUUAAAUAAAAGUACUAGAUUGUAGGAGAGGAAUAGGAGAUGUAAAAGAUCAUUGGAGGAAGAGGUGAGGAGAGUUGGUGGUGCGAAAAAACGGAGAUGGAAAAGAGGGGAAAAUUCUCCCUAGCAAGAGAGAGAGAGAGAAAAAACUAAUCUUAAAUGGGAAAAAGUUCUCCCAUGGAGGUAGAAAUCCUCCGAUGGAAGGAAGAGAAGCCCCAUAAAGGAUGUUAGUCACUUCUUUUUUCUCACUUUUGCUAGGGUUUGAAAAAGAAUAUUGUGUCGUUUCUUAUUGUGACAAUGUAGCCU